CUUGCUCCUGAAGGGGAGGGGGAGGGGGAUGGAGAGGGUGAGAAGGAGGGCAGGAGAAAAGGAGCAGGUGUGGGGCGUGGCCAGCACUCCGUGGAAGGCUUUUGUGCUGUAAAGCCUCUCUUUGCUUCUUCCCUCUGCCCCAUGCACCGGCCCUGUAUCUUCAGCACAAAGAGGCAGGAACCCAGGAGAGAAGAGGCCAUGAGAAGCCACGUGGCUAACAGUGUCUUGGCGCUCCAGCUGGGUGUCAGGCCUGAGCCUCUGAGGUGGGAGAGCCGAGUUCAGGACAUUGGAUCACCAGAGACUUCCCGGCCCAACGUAGUAUCAAUUGGCGAGAGCUCUCCCAGAGAUCUCCAUCUCAACACUAAGACCCAGCUCCACUCAACGAACAGCAAGCUCCAGUGCUGGACACCCAAUGCCAAACAACUAGCAAGACAGGAACACAACCCCACCCAUUAGCAGAGAGGCUGCCUAAAAUCAUAAUAAGUUUCACAGACACCCCAAAACACACCACCAGAUGUGGUCCUGCCAACCAGAAAGGCAAGAUCCAGCCUCAUCCACCAGAACACAGGCACCAGUCCCCUCCACCAGGAAGCCUACACAACCCAAUGAACCAACCUUACCCACUGGGGGCAGAUACCAAAAACAACAGGAACUACAAACCUGCAGCCUGUGAAAAGGAGACCCCUACACAGUAAGUUAAGCAAAAUGAGAAGAGAGAGAAAUUUGCAGCAGAUCAAGGAGCAUGGGAAAAACCCACCAGACUAAACAAAUGAAGACGAAAUAGGCAGUCUACCUGAAAAAGAAUUCAGAGUAAUGAUAGUAAAGAUGAUCCAAAAUCUUGGAAAUAGGAUGGAGAAAAUACAAGAAACAUUGAACAAGGACCUAAAAGAACUAAAGAGCAAACAAACAAUGAUGAACAACACAAUAAAUGAAAUUAAAAAUUCUCUAGAAGGAAUCAAUAGCAGAAUAACUGAGGCAGAAGAACAGAUAAGUGACCUGGAAGAUAAAAUAGUGGAAAUAACUACCACACAGCAGAAUAAAGAAUAAAGAAUGCAAAGAAUUGAGGACAGUCUCAGAGACCUCUGGGACAACAUUAAACACACCAACAUUCUAAUUAUAGGGGUCCCAGAAGAAGAAGAGAAAAAGAAAGGGACUGAGAAAAUAUUUGAAGAGAUUAUAGUUGAAAACUUCCCUAAUAUGGGAAAGGAAAUAGUUAAUCAAGUCCAGGAAGCACAGAGACUCCCAUACAGGAUAAAUCCAAGGAGAAACAUGCCAAGACACAUAUUAAUCAAACUAUCAAAAAUUAAAUAGAAAAAAUAUUAAAGGCAGCAAGAGAAAAACAACAAAUAACAUAAAAGGGAAUCCCCAUAAAGUUAACAGCUGAUCUUUCAGCAGAAACUCUGCAAGCCAGAAGGGAGUGGCAGGACAUAUUUAAAGUGAUGAAAGGGAAAAACCUACAACCAAGAUUACUCCACCCAGCAAGGAUCUCAUUCAGAUUUGACAGAGAAAUUAAAACCUUUACAGACAAGCAAAAGCUAAGAGAAUUCAGCUCCACCAAACCAGCUUUACAACAAAUCCUAAAGGAACUUCUCUAGGCAAGAAACACAAGAGAAGGAAAAGGCCUACAAUAACAAACCCAAAACAAUUAAGAAAAUGGUAAUAGGAACAUACAUAUUGAUAAUUACCUUAAAUGUAAAUGGAUUAAAUGCUCCAACCAAAAGACACAGACUGGCUGAAUGGAUAGAAAAGCAAGACCUGUAUAUAUGCUGUGUACAAGAGACCCACUUCAGACCUAGGGACGCAUACAGACUGAAAGUGAGGGAAUGGAAAAAGAUACUCCAUGCAAAUGGAAAUCAGAAGAAAGCUGGAGUAGCAAUUCUCAUAUCAGACAAAACAGACUUUAAAAUAAAGACUAUUACAAGAGACAAAGAAGGACACUACAUUGCGAUCAAGGGAUCAAUCCAAGAAGAAGAUACAACAACUGUAAAUAUUUAUGCACCAAACAUAGUAGCACCGCAAUACAUAGGCAAAAGCUAACAGCCAUAAAAGGGGAAAUUGACAGUAACACAAUCAUGGUAGGGGACUUGAACAAACACCCCACUUUCACCAAUGGACACAUCCUCCAAAAGGAAAAUAAAUAAGGAAACACAAGCUUUAAAUGAUACAUUAAACAACAUGGACUUAAUUGAUAUUUAUAGGACUUUCCAUCCAUAAAUAACAGAAUACACUUUCUUCUCAAGUGCUCAGGGAAAGUUCUCCAGGAUAGAUCAUAUAUUGGGUCACAAAUCAAGCCUUGGUAAAUUUAAGAAAAUUGAAAUCGUAUCAAGUAUCUUUUCUGACCACAACGCUAUGAGACUAGAUAUCAACUACAGGAAAAAAAUCUGUAAAAAACACAAACACAUGGAGGCUAAACAAUACACUACUAAAGAAUCAAGAGAUUACUGAAGAAAUCAAAGAGGAAACCAAAAAAUACCUAGAAACAAAUGACAAUGAAAACGCGAUGACCCAAAACCUAUGGGAUGCAGCAAAAGCAGUUCUAAGAGGGAAGUUUAUAGCAAUACAAUCCUACCUCAAGAAACAAGAAAUAUCUCAAAUAAACAACCUAACCUUACACCUAAAGCAAUUAGAGAAAGAAGAAAAAAAGCCCAAAGUUAGCAGAAGGAAAGAAAUCAUAAAGAUCAGAUCAGAGAUAAAUGAAAAAAAAAUGAAGGAAACAAUAGCAAAGAUCAAUAAAACAAAAAGCUGGUUCUUUGAGAAGAUAAAAUUGAUAAACAAUUAGCCAAACUCAUCAAGAAAAAAAGGGAGAAGACUCAAAUCAAUAGAAUUAGAAUUGAAAAAGAUGUAACAACUGACACUGCAGAAAUACAAAGGAUCAUGAGAGAUUACUACAAGAAACUAUAUGCCGGGGCUUCCCUGGUGGCACAGUGGUUGAGAGUCCGCCUGCCGAUGCAGGGGACGCGGGUUCGUGCCCCGGUCCGGGAAGAUCCCACAUGCCACGGAGUGGCUGGGCCCGUGAACCAUGGCCGCUGUGCCUGCGCGUCUGGAGCCUGUGCUCCUCAACGGGAGAGGCCACAACAGUGAGAGGCCCGCGUACCGCAAAGAAAAAAAGAAAAAAUAAGACACUAUAUGCCAAUAAAAUGGACAACCUGGAAGAAAUGGACAAAUUCUUAGAAAAGCACAACCUUCCGAGACUGAACCAGGAAGAAAUAGAAAAUAUAAACAGAUCAACCACAAGCACUGAAAUUGAGACUGUGAUUAAAAAUCUUCCAACAUACAAAAGCCCAGGACCAGAUGGCUUCACAGGCGAAUUCUAUCAAACAGAGAAGAGCUAACACCUAUCCUCAAACUCUUCCAAAAUAUAGCAGAGGGAGGAACACUCCCAAACUCAUUCUACAAGGCCACCAUCACCCUGACACCAAAAGCAGACAAAGAUGUCACAAAAAUAGAAAACUACAGGCCAGUAUCACUAAUGAAUAUAGAUGCAAAAAUCCUCAACAAAAUACUAGCAAACAGAAUCCAACAGCACUGUAAAAGGAUCAUACACCAUGAUCAAGUGGGGUUUAUCCCAGGAAUGCAAGGAUUCUUCAAUAUACACAAAUCAAUCAAUGUGAUAAACCAUAUUAACAAAUUGAGGGAGAAAAACCGUAUGAUAAUCUCAAUAGACACAGAAAAAGCUUUCUACAAAAAUCAACACCCAUUCUUGAUAAAAACUCUUUAGAAAGUAGGCGUAGAGGGAACCUACCUCAACAUAAUAAAGGCCAUAUAUGACAAACCCACAGCCAAACAUCGUUCUCAAUGGUGAGAAACUGAAACCGUUUCCACUAAGAUCAGGAAGAAGACAAGCCUGCCCACUGUCACCACUAUUAUUUAACAUAGUUUGGGAAGUUUUAGCCACAGCAAUCAGAGAAGAAAAAGAAAUAAAAGGAAUCCAAAUCAGGAAAGAAGUAAAACUGUCACUGUUUGCAGAUGACAUGAUAGUAUACAAAGAGAAUCAUAAAGACGCUACCAGAAAACUACUAGAGCUAAUCAAUGAAUUUGGUAAAGUAAAGUAGCAGGAUAUAAAAUUAAUGCACAGAAAUCUCUUGCACUCCUAUACACUAAUGAUGAAUUAUCUGAAAGAGAAAUUAAGGAAACACUCCAUUUACUAUUGCAACAAAAAGAAUAAAAUACCUAGGAAUAAACCUACCUAAGGAGACAAAAGACCUGUAUGUAGAAAACUAUAAGAUACUGAUGAAAGAAAACAGAUGGAGAGAUAUACCAUACCAUGUUCUCGGAUUGGAAGAAGUAACAUUGUGAAAAUGACUAUAUUACUCAAAGCAGUCUACAGAUUCAGUGCAAUCCCUAUCAAACUACCAAUGGCAUUUUCCACAGAACUAGAACAAAAAAUUUCACAAUCAGUAUGGAAACACAAAAGACCCCGAACAGCCAAAGCAAUCUUGAGAGAGAAAAACGGAACUGGAGGAACCAGGCUCCCUGACUUCAGACUAUACUACAAAGCUACAGUAAUCAAGACAGUAUGGUACUGGCACAAAAACAGAAGUAUAGAUCAAUGGAACAGGAUAGAAGCCCAGAGAUAAACCCACUCACAUAUGGUCACCUAAUCUUUGAUAAAGGAGGUAAGAAUAUACACUGGAGAAAAGACAGCCUCUUCAAUAAGUGGUGUUGGGAAAACUGGACCGCUACAUGUAAAAGAAUGAAAUUAGAACACUCCCUAACACCAUACACAAGAAUAAACUCAAAAUGGAUUAAAGACCUAAAUGUAAGGCCAGACACUAUAAAACUCUUAAAGGAAAACAUAGGCAGGAACACUCUAUGACAUAAAUCACAGCAAGAUUCUUUUUGAUCCACCUCCUUGAGAAAUGGAAAUAAAAACAAAAAUAAACAAAUGGGACCUAUUGAAACUUAAAACCUUUUGCACAGCAAAGGAAAACAUAAACAAGAUGAAAAGACAACACUCAGAAUGGGAGAAAAUAUUUGCAAAUGAAGCAACUGACAAAGGACUAAUCUCCAAAAUAUACAAGCAGCUCAUGUAGCUCAAUAUCAAAGAAACAAACAACCCAAUCCAAAAAUGGGCAGAAGACCUAAGUAGACAUUUCACCAAAGAAAAUAUACAGAUUGCCAACAAACACAUGAAAGGAUGCUCAACAUCACUAAUCAUUAGCGAAAGGCAAAUCAAAACUACAAUGAGAUAUCACCUCACACCAGUCAGAAUGGCCAUAAUCAAAAAAUCUACAAACAAUAAAUGCUGGAGAGGGCGUGGAGAAAAAGGAGCCCUCUUGCACUGUUGGUGGGAAUGUAAACUGAUACAGCCACUACAGACAACAGUAUGGAGGUUCCUUAAAAAACUAAAAAUAGAACUACCAUAUGACCCAGCAAUCCCACUACUGGGCAUAUACCCUGAGAAAACCAUAAUUCAAAUAGAGUCAUGUAUCACAAUGUUCAUUGCAGCACUACUUACAAUAGCCAGGACAUGGAAGCAACCUAAGUGUCCAUCAACAGAUGAAUGGAUAAAGAAGAUGUGGCACACAUAUACAAUGGAAUAUUACUCAGCCAUAAAAAGAAACAAAAUUGGGAUAUUUGUAGUGAGGUUGAUGGACCUAGAAUCUGUCAUACAGAGUGAAGUAAGUCAGGAAGAGAAAAACAAAUGCCGUAUGCAAACACAUAUAUACGGAAUCUAAAAAAAAAGAAAUGGUUCUGAAGAACCUAGGGGCAGGACAGGAAUAAAGACGCAGACGUAGAGAAUGGACUUGAGGACAUGGGGAGGGAGAAGGGUAAGCUGGGACGAAGUCAGAGAGUGGCAUGGACUUAUAUAUACUACCAAAUGUGAAAUAGACAGCUAGUGGGAAGCAGCUGCAUAGCACAGGGAGAUCAGCUCGGUGCUUUGUGACCACCUAGAGGGGUGGGAUAGGGAGGGUGGGAGAGAGAAGCAAGAGCGAGGGGAUAUGAGGAUAUAUAUAUACGUACAGCUGAUUCACCUUGUUUUACAGCAGAAACUAACACAGCAUUGUAAAAUAAAUAUACUCCAAUAAAGAUGUUUAAAAAAAAGAGUGGAUAUAUGUAUAUGUAUAGCUGAUUCACUUUGCUGUAUACCUGAAAGUAACACAACAUUGUAAAUCAACUAUACUCCAAUAAAAUUUUUUUAAAAAUUAAAAUAACAAAUAAAUAAAAUGUUGAUCUA